CCAAUCCGAAGCCUUGGGGGCAAAGGGAGCAUGGCUAGGAUGGAGCCUUGUCUCUGAAGGAGGAAACAGCAGCGCAGCAGCAGUGACGGAAGGUUCUUCAAGCGGCGGCUGGGGGACAGGCAAGGCAAGGCCAGCCAGGGAGGCAUAGAAAGCAAGCAGUUUCUCUCCCUCCCUCCGCCCAUCAAAAUGAAGAUUCUGAAACAUCCAUUUCAUCUGACCCGUGGACAGUCCAGGAAGUGGUGAUUCAGCAAAGUCAGGAAAAUGAAGAUAACUGAAGCAGAUUCCUUUGUACAUCCCAACUCCUUUGUGAACCUUUGGGCAUUAUGAACUAUGACUUUUUGUCGAAUUUCUGAAUUUCAGAGACUCAUGUAGUAUUUUGCAAACUCUCUACUAAUUUGAAAACUUUUGUGUGCACAACUUUGAAAGAACAAUGUCUCACUCUAGUGCUACAGAAGGCUGUAACACAAAUUCUGCGUAUUCAUUAUCCACCUGUACUCUAGAUAGUCAUCCGUUUCCUAUAGAGUGAAACUAAUGCAGCUCUUUUCAUUUGUAAUACCUAUUUCUUUUUUCUCUUUUCUUAUAAAUAGUUAAUGACCCCUCAUUAUUUGACAGGCUAACUUGGGCUUCUCAUUCAGUGUUUCCUUGACAACUCCAUAAGAAAUUAACCAAUUCCAUUUGGGUGAAAAAAAAAGAGUUAUUGAUUGAAGGCAGCCCAUGGAGCCUACCGAUUCUUGUUCAAAGGUGAUCCAGGCUUCCAGUCAUCUCAAGCAGGAGAGUACACACAAUAAAGGCUACAAACAAUGGCUAAAAGAAA